AUUGAACGCUGGCGGCAUGCCUUACACAUGCAAGUCGAACGGCAGCACGGGGGCAACCCUGGUGGCGAGUGGCGAACGGGUGAGUAACGCAUCGGAAUGUACCCAGUAGUGGGGGAUAACUAGUCGAAAGAUUAGCUAAUACCGCAUACGCACUGAGGUGGAAAGCGGGGGAUCGCAAGACCUCGCGCUAUUGGAGCAGCCGAUGUCCGAUUAGGUAGUUGGUGGGGUAAAGGCCUACCAAGCCUACGAUCGGUAACUGGUCUGAGAGGACGACCAGUCACACUGGGACUGAGACACGGCCCAGACUCCUACGGGAGGCAGCAGUGGGGAAUUUUGGACAAUGGGCGCAAGCCUGAUCCAGCAAUGCCGCGUGUGUGAAGAAGGCCUUCGGGUUGUAAAGCACUUUUGGCGGGAGCGAAACGGCGUUUGCUAAUACCAGACGCUAAUGACGGUACCCGCAGAAUAAGCACCGGCUAACUACGUG
rnacentral:rRNA from 1 species